GAUGAAGAACGUAGCGAAAUGCGAUAAGUAGUGUGAAUUGCAGAAUUCAGUGAAUCAUCGAAUCUUUGAACGCACAUUGCGGCCAUAGGUAUUCCUUUGGCCAUGCCUGUUCGAGCGUCGUUUACACCCUCAAGCCUAGCUUGGUGUUGGGCGUCUGUCCCGCCGUUUUCGCGCGCGGACUCGCCUCAAAGUCAUUGGCGGCGGUCGUGCCGGCCCCCUCGCGCAGCACAUUUGCGCUUCUCGGAGGCCCGGCGGAUCCGCGCUCCAGCAAGACCUUUCACGACUUGACCUCGGAUCAGGUAGGGAUACCCGCUGAACUUAAGCAUAUCAAUAAGCGGAGGA
rnacentral:misc_RNA from 1 species